AACGAACGCUGGCGGCAGGCUUAACACAUGCAAGUCGAACGCUUGGGAGCGAUCCCUUGAGUGGCAGACGGGUGAGUAACGCGUGGGAACAUACCCUUCGGUACGGAACAACUUGGGGAAACUCGAGCUAAUACCGUAUGCGGCCUAUGGGCGAAAGAUUGUAUCGCCGAAGGAUUGGCCCGCGUCCGAUUAGCUAGUUGGUGGGGUAACGCCCACCAAGGCGACGAUCGGUAGCUGGUCUGAGAGGAUGGCCAGCCACAUUGGGACUGAGACACGGCCCAAACUCCUACGGGAGGCAGCAGUGGGGGAUCUUGCGCUAAUGCGCGAAAGCGUGACGCAGCGACGCCGCGUGGGGGAUGAAGGCCUU
rnacentral:rRNA from 1 species